AUAUAUAAGAUUUUUAGUUUUCUUUUCUUAACUUGAUUAAGAAAAUGCCUGUUCAUUCCGACUUUACUUGCCUAAGUAUAAACUAGUACUGGCCUGGAAAUUGUGAACUGAAUUUUACUACGUCUAGGAAGAUUAAAUGGAGACCCCCCCGCCCACUUCACACUGUAGCUUACAACGGAGAUCAGCGACAGGGUUCCAAGCAAUGUCCGGGCGCCUUUAAGAGGAAGCGCGGUAAUUUUCCACCGCCCCACUGGCCCCGCCCACGCGGUAGGCGGCUGGGCGCGGCGAAGUGCGGCUGCGUGGCGCGGGCCUCCUGUUGCUUGGAAACCACCUCUUCCACCCUUGGAGCCCAAAGUCCUUUUGUUUCCAAGAUGGCCUCUGAGUCCUGUCUUAAAGAGCCAGGGCAUCUUCCCAACCAAGGGAUCAAACUUGUGUUUCUUUCGCCUUAAAUGUGUGGUCUGUCUCUCAAGCUUUUGGACUGAGAUGUCUCAUGAAGGCAGAAGAUCCCACAGCCCAGGAAAAUCUACUGACCCAGUUUCCCAAGGAGAAAACUCACAGACAUCAAGGAGGGGCUCCGUACAUGAAAAUGUGAGGAAUGAAAGAUUUACUUCUGCACUGAGGAGCACAGCAUCUUUGCAACAGAUUACUGAUGAGCCAUGUUCAUUGGUUCUUGUUCACGACCUCCUCCAAAAACCACUGAGACCUGCCACCUUGCUAUGAGGUUUUUCAGCCACUAUGUCAAUGUUGUGUAUCAGGGCACACUGUCUACUAUUAAGAAGUAGCACAGGAAAUAUUUUACAUGAAAAUCCCAUGUAAAUCCCUGAAUUUACAUGAAUCCAGGUCAGAAACUGCUGGUCAAGAAGCUCAUGUUUUGGAUUGAUACAAGAGAGCCAGGUUGUAUUAGUCAGCAUUCUCUAGAGAAACAGAACCAAUCGGGUGUGUGUAUGAGUGUGAAUGAAGAGAGAGAAAGAGAC
ensembl:lncRNA